rnacentral:rRNA from 1 species
AGGGAAGAAGCGAAGGUGACGGUACCUGCAGAAGAAGCGCCGGCUAACUACGUGCCAGCAGCCGCGGUAAUACGUAGGGCGCAAGCGUUAUCCGGAAUUAUUGGGCGUAAAGAGCUCGUAGGCGGUUUGUCGCGUCUGCCGUGAAAGUCCGGGGCUCAACUCCGGAUCUGCGGUGGGUACGGGCAGGCUAGAGUGAUGUAGGGGAGACUGGAAUUCCUGGUGUAGCGGUGAAAUGCGCAGAUAUCAGGAGGAACACCGAUGGCGAAGGCAGGUCUCUGGGCAUUAACUGACGCUGAGGAGCGAAAGCAUGGGGAGCGAACAGGAUUAGAUACCCUGGUAGUCCAUGCCGUAAACGUUGGGCACUAGGUGUGGGGGACAUUCCACGUUUUCCGCGCCGUAGCUAACGCAUUAAGUGCCCCGCCUGGGGAGUACGGCCGCAAGGCUAAAACUCAAAGGAAUUGACGGGGGCCCGCACAAGCGGCGGAGCAUGCGGAUUAAUUCGAUGCAACGCGAAGAACCUUACCAAGGCUUGACAUGGACCGGACCGCCGCAGAGAUGUGGUUUCUCCUUUUGGGGCCGGUUCACAGGUGGUGCAUGGUUGUCGUCAGCUCGUGUCGUGAGAUGUUGGGUUAAGUCCCGCAACGAGCGCAACCCUCGUUCCAUGUUGCCAGCGCG